ACGACCCACACAGAAAGGGUGCUCCUGGUGAUCCUGGGAGACAGCGAGGUGCCACUGAGGCUUGCAGAUGAUGGCAAAGUCCUGCUGGUUCACGUGUGCAGUAAAGAACCAGAAGACAGAAAAUCCACAUACCAUGUCCCGGUGUGUCUGAAGAAG